CCUACGGGAGGCAGCAGUAAGGAAUAUUGGUCAAUGGACGAAAGUCUGAACCAGCCAUGCCGCGUGAAGGAUUAAGGCCCUCUGGGUUGUAAACUUCUUUUAUCUGGGACGAAAAAAGGGUAUUCUUACUCACUUGACGGUACCAGAGGAAUAAGCACCGGCUAACUCCGUGCCAGCAGCCGCGGUAAUACGGAGGGUGCAAGCGUUAUCCGGAUUUACUGGGUUUAAAGGGUGCGUAGGUGGGUUUGUAAGUCAGUGGUGAAAUCUCCGAGCUUAACUCGGAAACUGCCAUUGAUACUAUAGAUCUUGAAUUAUCUGGAGGUAAGCGGAAUAUGUCAUGUAGCGGUGAAAUGCUUAGAUAUGACAUAGAACACCAAUUGCGAAGGCAGCUUACUACGGAUAUAUUGACACUGAGGCACGAAAGCGUGGGGAUCAAACAGGAUUAGAUACCCUGGUAGUCCACGCCCUAAACGAUGGAUACUCGACAUCAGCGAUACACUGUUGGUGUCUGNGNGAAGANAUAGUAUCCACCUGGAGACGAUCGCGAGAGUAGAACGUACAAGUAGAGUUAGUACGCGUGAGACGUAGACCGACGGACGACGACGAGGGGAGGUUAGG
rnacentral:rRNA from 1 species